GGGUGGGGCCGCGCUGUGAGGGAGCCCAACGGUCAGCGCCGGCCCCUCAGCGUCAGCGCCGCUGGUGCCCGCUCCUCCGGCAGCCGGGCGGCGGCUCAAACGGAAUUUCGAGGUGCUUUUCUUUCUCCCAGUGCCUGUGGGCGAACCUCAACCCUGGCGUUGAGCUUUUUCUGUGAGAACAACCCCUCAGUACCGGUCGCUGCUGGGCGGGCAGCCACACCGAGGGCCUCUGAGGUGGCACGGGAGUCACUGACACGCAGACUUUUUUUUUUUGUCACAAGACCGCUAGGACUGAAGGACACAGCUGAACGCUGGGAAACAGUAUCGCCCUCCAGUCCUUCAAAGACAGAUUUGGCAAGUGGUAAUGCAUCGUAGCAGGAGAAUCCAAGCUUAAAUUUUGCAAGGACUGAAGAUUAAAAGAAAAAAUACCUUUGUGUAAAUCAUCUUGAAUGCAUGGAUAAUUCCCAUGUACUUGUGUUCCCCUUUUACUUGGAAUGCCAGACGAACUCUAACCAUAUCAAGAGGGUAAGUACAAAUCACUGCUGUAAUACCUUUAUUAAAAACAAAAACAAAACAAGCAAACAAAACUCACCUACACCUUAUCUGGAUCUAGGAUUAUUUUGAAAAUUAGAAUUUGUUUGUAGCAGUGAAUAUAAUAGCAUAUACAAAUUACUUUGUUAAAGAAGCACUUAAAAAUCACUUCUAAUCAGCAAAUAGCAACCUCAGCAACACAAGAGGAAUUUAUAUUUAUACUCGAUGUUCACUGAAGCUGCACAUCAACCUUGAUUCUCCAAAGAUUUACGGGUCUAACUGUAUUCACAUGAGCGAUCUUCACCGUGGCUCUUAAGCAUCAGCUUAAUCAAGUGCCUUGGCCUUUACUGGACUGCAACCACAAAAUCUAAUCCUAUGUUACCUAAUAAAUAGCACCAUUUAUAUGUUUAAUUACCAAAAAGUUGUCAGAAUUCAAGUGUGAUUACUGGGUAUAGAUACAUGCAUUUACCUACUGCAUCUGAAAAUACUGAACAUAUUCUAACGACGUUUAAAAUGAAGUCAGGAACCUACUAAUGAAGAGCACUGAACUGUGUUGCAUUACUGCAUUUUUAUAGUUCUUGUUAUACCAGCACUUUGGUUUUAAAACUUUGACCAAAAAAGCUAUUUCUAUACUUAACAAGAUGUUAAAAAGAAAAAAAUCUUAGCUCGUAACUGGAUGAAUCCUACUUCAAAACUGUGUAGAUAACUGACCAACUCGUCAUUUUGGAAACACACCUCCAGUACAAAGAAUAACUUCUAUUACAUUUACCUGAAUAAUAAAAUUCCUUUUUACCACUAGUCUUUGAGGUAAACCACUCAGUUUCUGACAAAUUAUUUGGAGGGGAUGGUUAAAACUGCUUACUAAAACCUGCUUACUCACCAGAUUAUUUUCUGGUGGUGUACCACUGGCUCUUGACAAAUAUAUAUAUAUACUGGGAAAAGAAGAAAGCAAAAGCCUAUUCUGCUCCCUAGCAACCGCUUUUCUUUACCUAAAGAUCACCCUUAAAAUUGAUCCUACAGAAAACGGGCACACUUCGGAACACUGGCAGGAAAUCACCAGUUCCUCCUAAGUUUUAAUACUCUGUUACUGGUAUCUCUCUUGUAGAUGCAUCAUUUUCUCCCUCUUUCAUAAGAGGAAGAGAAAGCCACAAGAGAAAAGAGACAAAAGUGAAACAGGCAAAACCAAACAGUUCCAGCAAAGAUCUCUAUAACUUAUGUCCACAGAGACAAAAAUCAACUCCAGUUAGCUGAAUUAUCUGACAUAAAAUAUCUGUGUUGGAUAGGAAUGGACAAAAAAAAUUAACAGCAUGAGAAGGCUACCCUAAAAGCUGACACUGGUCAGCUGUCAACUGAGAGCAAAGUUUUUGUCUUCCUGUAGCUUUUAUUUUAGAAGACAAAAACACCUCUAUUAGACAUUUUUGGACUAUUCCUCUGAACAAAAAAGCAGAACUCUGUCGUUGAUUUUUGAUGCAGUCUCACCCCUAGGGUUCAAAAGUUGGAAGCUCUAUAACACCAAAGCAAUUUUAGAACUGUUUCCACUGACCUACAUUAUUAAAUGCAAUUCCUCAGACUGCAGCCUUUUCCUAAUGGAUUGCCCAAGACGUCCAGAAAUAUUGUAAAAUGGAUGAAUUCAAGCAGUUUCAAAAAAGGGGGGGGAGGAAAGAGCAAAACUUCUAGAGCUUUAGAGUUCAGAGGAAAGUUAUCAUAAUACAGAACAUGGACAAACUUAUCCCUGUUCUCAUUCCACUCAUGCACUAAGUAUCCAGGACUAUCCUCUGUACAAAGACUAGCAAACAGAACAACCCAAAGUUUGAUGAAUGCAGUAAGUAGUCAACAAGAAGUCCAAAACCAGCACAAUAGCACAAUUCAAGAAAAAAAAAUCAGAGGGGACUGAAAGAAACUAUGUCGCAUGGUUUUAAAUAGGACCCAUUUCUGACUUUAUCUUAAAAUCCUCUAGCCAUGAAUUCUGGAAAAAAAAAAAAAAAAAAGGAUGUCCAACAUUAAGGGAUGAUAAAACCACAAAAUAUGCAAUAUGCUUUCCUGAAGGAACUUGAAGAGGCAUGUUACUGCUUACUGUUCAUAUGUAUAUUGGGAAAGGAUCAAGAUUUUCUCAGUCAGAAGAGACACUAUCUUUUCUGGGAGGAAUAGUGGCCAGCUUUGGGACACUGAAAGCCGUUUUGGGGAAGUCAACAAGAAUACUAAUCUCAUCUCUACUCCCUAAAUGCUAUGAGUUAUCAGAAGAUGGACCACAACACCUUAAGGCUGAUUCCCUGUCUUGAGGAAGUCUUUUUCAACUAACUUAAACCAACCAUAGCAGAGAUUUCUGUCUCAACAGGACAGAACUGAAGUCUCUCCCCAGUUCAGAGAUACCUAUGGCAAAUCCCAGCAUCUUAUCUGAAAUAAUUGUAAUAAGGCCAAUGUAGUUCCUCCCUCCUGUAAGGUACCACUUCUUCAAAUACAGCAACUUUUUCAAUGCAAAUGCUGACUCAGAAGUACCUACCCCACUGAAGUCAAGGAAUUGUCAGGGAAAGAUCAUUUCUCACUUAUUAAUUUUUCUUCAAGCACUUCUGACCAUUCUUGGGGACAAGAUACUGGGUUACACAGACUUUUACUGGGACUCGGCAUAAACAAAGCACAAGAAUUAGGCCAUCCAAGCUUUCAAAGUUGACAAUGAGUUUAGCUGAAUGGGUAUUGAACUGUCUCCUGAUUUCCCUACUAUUCCUCCAUUCUUAGUAAUUUUCUUUCUUUCUCUGAAAAUCAAAACUAAACUUAUAAAAGUGAGAAAAAAGUGAAAUACGUUUAUAAAGAACAGGUGCUGCAAACAUACCUGAUGUACAUAUUUUAUCUGAUUUCUACAUCAUGCAAUUUGUACUACAUCGAAAACUACAUAGACUAAAUUAGUGCUACCAGAUUAUUCAGAGAUAUACAUUCUGGAAAAUGAUACACACAAGUCACUGCCUGCAAGGAAAUAUACUCCUUCACUAGCAUGAAGUAGAUUGAUUUAUCAAGGAGGCAUCUUCUGGAAAAAAAAAAAAAAAGCUUUGGGAACUAUACAAAGAGAGAGACACGGCUGAUGACAAAGACCAUGCAUCAGACUGGUUAAAGAACUGGAUAAUUUACAAGUCUUAGUAUGUCUAGGCCUUUAAUACAUAAUUGUAUUUCUUUCUAAAUGGCACCUGAAGAAGUAAACAGCACUGAUUCUUUUUAAAUGUUGACUCAAUUAGAUAACUGUUACUUAGAUACUAUUUAAAAUUGAGAUAGCAGUACCCUCCUACCCCAUACUGUUUUCCAAUCACUUUUAGUAAAAACAAACAAACCACCACCAUGCUCUCUUUCUCUGUUAGUUUCACAGAACUUAUGUUUAUUCUGUUAACAUCCAGUCUAUUUCAGCACCUUUUUUUUAUUUUUUUUUUUUUGAGUUAAUCAAGGGCAGGGGAAGAAAUACACAUUUCUGUUUCAAGUCAGAUUUGUCAGUAAGAAAAAUGAAAAAUAUUUAGAUUUGCAAAGUCUUUCUGUAAUACAGGUGUUGUUUCCUAAACCCCACUAACAUCUAUGAUUUCUCAAUCCUCUCCCCAGUUCCGUAUUUUCUAAAAAAAAAAAAAAAAAAAGUUAUAAGCCAUUUAUCUGUUAAUGAGGUGUUACAGCUGAAAUUUAAAUCACACAAGGCCCAGGAAAUUCAGAGUUGAAGUUUCCACAGUAAUUUUAACUCAACCUCCUUAAAUACAUGCAUUACAAUAGGUUUUUCUUCUCUCUCACUCCACUGCCCCCAUCCUCAUUGCCUUGCUUUUCCCUGUGGAUAUGCCUUUGAUCCUGUUUAUCAGUUACAAAAGCUACUCAAAAGUUUCCCACCGUUCUGAAGCUGAUUUCAGGUCUGUUGACUGUUAGUAAUGUUGGAAACACUGACAUAAGCAAGAUUUAAGUAUCUGUACCACACACUAAAGUGAAUGCAGACAGCUGUGUGGUCUGAUGGCACAGAAGGGGCAAAAAGGAAUAGGAACCAAGGGCUAGCCAUUUUCAACUGCAUAACACUAUGUUCUAGGAAACUGUGAAGACCCCUCUCCAUCAACAUUGAGGUGCAUCCAGCUCACUGUCUCUUUCAGUCAUUUAAACGUCGAAAAAAAGAGGAUUAUAUCCCUUUGCUGGUGCCAGGAAGAGACUAAGCCAUGGGAGUUAAAGCCAGAAAUAUUGUCAGUUGCUUUUAAGAGUCUUCUCUCUUUUUGUUUGCAAUUCUAGAGAACUUCUAACACUCCAGACUCUGUGCCUCCUUCCUCCACGUAUCUUCUUGGCACGCUCAAUACAAACCCUCCCCUCUUAUCUAAUAUUAAUGCAACCUAAUAAACAAAUAUUAGAACUCCCCAAAUGUCACACUACUACCGUACUUGUGUGUUACAUUCAUUUCACUACACACCUAAGUCCAGCUCAUCUACUCAGUUUUGGGGUUCUCAAUACCAGACUAUUGAGGAUAUUGUACUUAAAUGCACCACACCAAGCAUUUCAUUUGAUCAGGGUUUCCAGAUAUAUCCUCUGUAUAUUCAUCAUAUUUCUGUUACUCUAACUACACAAAACAAUUAACCACAAGGGUGCUUAAAGCUAUGUCAGAUACUAUUAAUUUAUCUACACAAAGAAUUUCAGCAUGUCCAACACUGGCAGAAUUAACCAAUUAUUCAAAGUUUUUUACAGUGUCUCACAAGUCAGGUCCCUGGUCUCUGACAAGACUCCUGAAAAAAACUAAUAAUAACGAAUUUUGGGGAAAAAUAUUUUUAAUGCAGUUAAAGACAGAAAAGAAAAUAUAUAUAUUUCCACUUCUUUUACACAAAAAGCCAACCAAGUUCUAGAACAUAUCUUUUCCUUUUCUCAGAUGGCAUGCAAAACCAAAAUACUUUCAUAAAGUCUUCCUAGUUUAACUGAAGUUAGCAUAACUCAUCCUUUUUUCCAAAAAAAAAAAAAGAAAAAAAAAAGAAAAAAAAGAAA